GACGAACGCUGGCGGCGUGCUUAACACAUGCAAGUCGAACGGAAGGGCCCUGCUUUUGUGGGGUGCUCGAGUGGCGAACGGGUGAGUAACACGUGAGUAACCUGCCCUUGACUUUGGGAUAACUUCAGGUAACUGGGGCUAAUACCGGAUAGGAUCUCCUGCUGCAUGGUGGGGGUUGGAAAGUUUCGGCGGUUGGGGUUGGACUCGCGGCUUAUCAGCUUGUUGGUGGGGUAGUGGCUUACCAAGGCUUUGACGGGUAGCCGGCCUGAGAGGGUGACCGGCCACAUUGGGACUGAGAUACGGCCCAGACUCCUACGGGAGGCAGCAGUGGGGAAUAUUGCACAAUGGGCGGAAGCCUGAUGCAGCAACGCCGCGUGCGGGAUGACGGCCUUCGGGUUGUAAACCGCUUUCGCCUGUGACGAAGCGUGAGUGACGGUAAUGGGUAAAGAAGCACCGGCUAACUACGUG
rnacentral:rRNA from 1 species